CCCUGCUAUAAUUGGCUCACGACCCUGCCGCUCACACGUCGGUGUCCCGCCCCGCCCCUCACCGGGGCGGGACGGAGCGCCCCCUUGCGGCGGUGGCGAUGCCGCUGAUGCCGGGUCCUCGCGGGGGUCGGGCCGCGCUCGGGCCUCGCCGGGAAGGGCUCGGCCGUGUACGGGGCACCGCCGCGGGCUCCGCCGGGCCCGGGGGGCCGCUGUCCAACGGCUCUGAGCCGCGGCUGAGCCAUUCGGGUCCGCAGGCCGCGCGGGUCCUUACAGGUUGUCCGUGCGGCCUGCGAGGCUGCGGCCCCUCAGCCGAGGCCAGAGUGGGACCACGGGGGUGACCCGGCACCGCUGUCCCCUCCCUGCUGCCCGUCUCAGGUCCAGCCCGGCCCCUCUCGGAGCUGAGCCCCCGUGGCAGUGGCACACGGGGUGUUCGUGGCUCUCCAGCCCGCCUGGGGCCGGCGGUGCGGAGGCGGCUCCACCGUCUGUCGGCAGCCUGCGGAAGGGUUGUGUGAGGCUUUGCCUUUGUGGGAUCCGGGCUGUGGGUGGGAGCUCUGGAGGGGGUGCUCCAGGUACCGCUGGCAGAGCCCAGCAGGAAGGAUGUAGCAUUGGCAGAGGGGCAAAAUGAGGUUGCAGGUGUCUGAAAAAGAAGAGAGCAAAGAGAUUUUUGUAGAAUUAGAUUGGAUAUCGGGAAGCAGUUCUUGGCUGUAAGGGUGGUUGAAGCCCUGGCACAGGUUGCCCAGAGAAGCUGUGGCUGCCCCAUCCCUGAAGUUAUUCAGGCCACAUUGCACGGAGCUUGGAGCAAGCUGGUCAAGUAGAAGGUGUGCCCAUGGCAGGGGGUGGAACAGGAUUGUUGGAAACUAUACAACUUCUACAUUUUUAAACUAACUUUAAUCAGGGGUUUUGUUCAUCUUUGCCCAGGAAGGAAAUGGAAGUUUCUUUUCAAGAGACUGUUCCCUGGGCAAGACCUGAUGAGCUUAACAUCUCAAGGGACUGGGAGGGACCAGAGGAUGCACGAGAGUGACAGGAUGAGCUUUAAGUUUCUUCCAACCCAAACCAUUCUGGGAUUCUCUCAACCUGGUGAGUUGAUGACUCCUGUAAUUUUGACCAGGACUACCAUCCUAUUCCAGAGGCGAAUUUCUCACUUGGAACAUUUCUGCAAUACUGGGAGAAAUUACUUUUUUUUUUUUUUUGUGAAGGGACUGAAAACUGAAUCCCCAGGUACAGCAAAUGGGCUGUGCUGGGGUUGUGCCAGCUGGGUUCCUGCAUCCUUAAAAGCAGAUCGUAACAAAUCAAUGACUUUGCUCCGGGUGGGGAGGAACUGUGCAAAGCACUGCUGGGAUGAUGGGGCAAUCUGGAAAUAGCUUUUUAGCAUGUGGGCUGUCAGGAGCUCUUGUAUAAGCAAUUCUCCCAGCAUAUCUCUCUAUUGUGGCUUUUCAGCUGAAAUGAUUGUCACACCAGGACCUUCCUGGAGCUGCCCAGCAGGGUGUGUGACAGGCUGUUUGCAUCACAGGCCUUCCCAGUCCCUGUGCAUUGGAUAUCAAAUCCCAGCUGAUGGGAAAUGGCCUGCAUAGAGCAGCAAGGCCAUUCCUCCCACUGUGGCUUGUCUCAACUGCCUGUCUGCAUUAUCCUUAAUGUACUUUCUGGAAACCUGCCUCCUACCUUGGGGCUGCUCCCAGAGGAGGUUUAAUGGGUUUGAUUCAUCCACUGUUGCAGCAAGAUGAUUAAUAAUUGAAGAAAUUACAUCUUUCCUGAGUAGAGAUGGAGGAAAGGAGGAGCAAAGGAGAGCACUGGACAAAGGACAGCAGUAUCCUUGUGACCUCUCCCACCCUCCACCUCGCUCAGAACAUCCUGCUCCUGGAGCCCAUGGCAAGGGACCACUAGGCUGAGGCCUGGUGCAGCUACACCCUCCUCCUGAAGAGCAGAGCCACAUCCUCUUCUUCCCUAGCCAGGGCUCAGUGCUCUCUCUGGGACCUGGGCAGGAGCAGAGUGUGGAGCAGUGGUUAGCUGACAAGGGUCACUCCCUGAUACAGCUGGCUGACCAAGGGUGUGAAGGAUAACAAACUUAGCUCUCAGCCUCCGUCUAAAGCAGAGAUAGAGUGUCCUAGGGGUGCAGCUGUUUAGACAAUAAUGGCAUACAAGACAGGAGCAGGAAUGUGAAAAAGUCCCAGCCGAAUAAACCGCAAUAAUGCAGACCUAGGCGUGUUUGACCUUUAACCAUGUAACCAAUCAUGAGCUUACUUUUGCACUAUGCAUGAGUUUCAUUAACACUAGUAUAAAAACAUGUAUCGAUAAUCAAUAAAUGAGACUUGCUG
rnacentral:lncRNA from 14 species